GGGAGAGGAAAGCGGAAUUACKAGUGUAGAGGUGAAAUUCGUAGAUAUUCGUAAGAACACCAGUGGCGAAGGCGGCUUUCUGGMCCRAUACUGACGCURAGGCGCGAAAGCGUGGGGAGCAAACAGGAUUAGAUACCCUGGUAGUCCACGCUGUAAACGAUGAGUGCUAGAUGUUGG
rnacentral:rRNA from 1 species